AGUGAACGCUGGCGGUAGGCCUAACACAUGCAAGUCGAACGGCAGCACAGGAGAGCUUGCUCUCUGGGUGGCGAGUGGCGGACGGGUGAGGAAUACAUCGGAAUCUACUUUUUCGUGGGGGAUAACGUAGGGAAACUUACGCUAAUACCGCAUACGACCUACGGGUGAAAGCAGGGGACCUUCGGGCCUUGCGCGGAUGAAUGAGCCGAUGUCGGAUUAGCUAGUUGGCGGGGUAAAGGCCCACCAAGGCGACGAUCCGUAGCUGGUCUGAGAGGAUGAUCAGCCACACUGGAACUGAGACACGGUCCAGACUCCUACGGGAGGCAGCAGUGGGGAAUAUUGGACAAUGGGCGCAAGCCUGAUCCAGCCAUACCACGUGGGUGAAGAAGGCCUUCGGGUUGUAAAGCCCUUUUGUUGGGAAAGAAAAGCAGCAGGUUAAUACCCCGCUGUUCUGACGGUACCCAAAGAAUAAGCACCGGCUAACUUCGUGCCAGCCGCCGCUGUAACAC
rnacentral:rRNA from 1 species